rnacentral:rRNA from 1 species
UUGCACGCUGGCGGCAGGCCUAACACAUGCCAGUCGAGCGGAUGAAGGGAGCUUGCUCCUGGAUUCAGCGACGGACGGGUGAGUAAUGCCUAGGAAUCUGCCUGGUAGUGGGGGAUAACGUCCGGAAACGGGCGCUAAUACCGCAUACGUCCUGAGGGAGAAAGUGGGGGAUCUUCGGACCUCACGCUAUCAGAUGAGCCUAGGUCGGAUUAGCUAGUUGGUGGGGUAAAGGCCUACCAAGGCGACGAUCCGUAACUGGUCUGAGAGGAUGAUCAGUCACACUGGAACUGAGACACGGUCCAGACUCCUACGGGAGGCAGCAGUGGGGAAUAUUGGACAAUGGGCGAAAGCCUGAUCCAGCCAUGCCGCGUGUGUGAAGAAGGUCUUCGGAUUGUAAAGCACUUUAAGUUGGGAGGAAGGGCAGUAAGUUAAUACCUUGCUGUUUUGACGUUACCAACAGAAUAAGCACCGGCUAACUUCGUG